rnacentral:tRNA from 1 species
CAGGAUAUAGCUAAAAUAUUAAAGCAACUCCCUUACACCGAGUAGUUAUCCGUUCAAAUCGGAUUAUCCUGA